rnacentral:rRNA from 1 species
CCUACGGGUGGCUGCAGUGGGGAAUCUUGGACAAUGGGCGCAAGCCUGAUCCAGCAAUGCCGCGUGCGUGAAGAAGGCCUUCGGGUUGUAAAGCGCUUUUGUCAGGGAGCAAAUCCUUGUGGCUAAUACCCACCGGGGAUGAGAGUACCUGAAGAAUAAGGACCGGCUAACUACGUGCCAGCAGCCGCGGUAAUACGUAGGGUCCAAGCGUUAAUCGGAAUUACUGGGCGUAAAGCGUGCGCAGGUGGUUUGUUAAGCACGAUGUGAAAUCCCCG